rnacentral:rRNA from 1 species
GACGAACGCUGGCGGCGUGCUUAACACAUGCAAGUCGAGCGGUAAGGCCCUUUUGGGGGUACGACGAGCGGCGAACGGGUGAGUAACACGUGGGUGACCUGCCCUCAGCUCUGGGAUAAGCCUGGGAAACUGGGUCUAAUACUGGAUAUGACCUUUCCUCGCAUGGGGUUGGGUGGAAAGUUUUUCGGCUGGGGAUGGGCCCGCGGCCUAUCAGCUUGUUGGUGGGGUGAUGGCCUACCAAGGCGACGACGGGUAGCCGGCCUGAGAGGGCGACCGGCCACACUGGGACUGAGACACGGCCCAGACUCCUACGGGAGGGCAGCAGUGGGGAAGUAUUGCGCAAUGGGCGGAAGCCUGACGCAGCGACGCCGCGUGGGGGAUGACGGCCUCGGUUG